AAUAGAUACCCCGGUAGUCCACGCCGUAAACGAUGAGUGCUAAGUGUUAGAGGGUUUCCGCCCUUUAGUGCUGCAGCUAACGCAUUAAGCACUCCGCCUGGGGAGUACGGCCGCAAGGCUGAAACUCAAAGGAAUUGACGGGGGCCCGCACAAGCGGUGGAGCAUGUGGUUUAAUUCGAAGCAACGCGAAGAACCUUACCAGGUCUUGACAUCCUCUGACACUCCUAGAGAUAGGACGUUCCCCUUCGGGGGACAGAGUGACAGGUGGUGCAUGGUUGUCGUCAGCUCGUGUCGUGAGAUGUUGGGUUAAGUCCCGCAACGAGCGCAACCCUUGAUCUUAGUUGCCAGCAUUCAGUUGGGCACUCUAAGGUGACUGCCGGUGACAAACCGGGAGGAAGGUGGGGAUGACGUCAAAUCAUCAUGCCCCUUAUGACCUGGGCUACACACGUGCUACAAUGGAUGGUACAAAGGGCAGCAAAGCCGCGAGGCCUAGCCAAUCCCAUAAAACCAUUCUCAGUUCGGAUUGU
rnacentral:rRNA from 1 species